CCUCCUCACCUGCGCAGACCCCUGCUCCUCCCCGCGGCUCCCUGAGGUAGGGCCGCGCGCUUCGGGAUGGGGUGGCGCCGGCUGUGGGAUCCAAGCGCGGGCGGCCGGAUCCAGGCGCGGGCGGCUGGAAUCGAGUGCGGGAGCCGAUGGUGGCAGGAUCCCAGCCCGGGUGGCGGUCACGGCAAGACUCCGACAGAAGGGUGACGGCGGCGGCGAGAUCCAGGAUGCUGGCCUCAAAUUUGACAGCGAUUUUGGCUUAGAUUUCAAUCUCCAUGCUGCUGAUCCAGUGGAGAAGGGAGGAGGGGUAGAUCCAGUGGAACCAAAAUCCUCUCUAUUUACAAUCGUUUAUUGUGUUGUUAUAUAACUGGUGUUUGUUUUUUUAGCUCCAGUAGUACAACUAUUGAUUUUGUGCAAAGCAGCGAGGAAACAUGAUUAACAUUAGUGUGGAAAAACCAUAAUGGCUUCACAGAUGGAGCAGCACAAAUAUGGUAGUUUGUAUUUCCUAUUAGAUAGUGAGACAGUGAAUACCUUUAAAUUUCCUGUUAGGAUUCAGCUUGUGUCUGCUACAGCAUCCUCAUGAUCUGUUCAUUUAAUUAUCUUUACUGAGAACAUGGCUACAUGUUACAUUCUGAAUUGCUAUAUGCCAUUUGUGUCUUUGUCUGAAUGUUACAAUAAAUUUAUGUGUUCUUCUAUUUAUUAAUUUUUUUUGCCAAUUAUCUGGUCUGCAGCUAGAGUUUACUACAAUGCCUAACUUUUUUCAUCUGUAGCUAGGGAUUAUUACCAAGCUUUUUCAUUUGUGCUUCUGCACAAGCAAUUCCAGUUCUGUUCAUGUUAUAUUUCAUUCGGAAAAUAACGACACAACUGCUUUUGAGGAGAGACUUGGGCAUCUCAUUCAGAAGUUCAAAAACAAGGUGUUAAUCCCAAGCUGUCAAGACUUGGAAAGUUUCAGAUAAGCAACCCAAACCUGUUUGUAUGGAAUUUUUCCCUUGUAUUUUCAGUGAACUCGAUGAUGAUAGAUGAGAGAUGAUCUAGAAUUUUUGUAUAUAUAGUCGUCUGACAGAAAUAUGAACUAUGGAGGCUUAUAAAGAUGGAAUUUGGCUAAGAGAGAAUGUGUGGAUACUAAUGUAUAUUUGGUCCUUCUUUGUGUUAGGCUGCCCUGUAUGGAGGCUUAUAAAGACGCAUGAUCCGGUUUUAGGAGAGCAACCAUGAAGAGAAAAUUGAUGACAUUUCAGGUAGCAGUCCUGUCGAGGUGCAAAUUACUCAUCCAUUAUGGACAAGUACGUGGUGCAUUGGAUCUUAAUUUUCACUAUUUAGUUUUGUUCACUGUUUUUGGAAAUAUUUUAGGAACUACGGCAUGCUGCAUUCUUUUAAGAUGUCAACAUGAUUUGUCACCCUAGCUUUUGCCAAAUGUCGGAAUGCUCGCUAUGGUCAGCACCACAGAUGCAUUGUUUAUACUUUUACUGAAAGUGGAGGCUGUUCUGCUGCUGAGCAACCUGGUGUAGUCUUGAAAGGUUGUCAUUAAGUUUCAUCAACAGUGUCAAGGCACUCAGUGAUCCUCACUAUUAGAUUCAGAAUUGGAGGAAGCAUAGGGUUGUUCAUAUGAUUAUAAUGUGCAUAUAUAAAUUUGGAUUAAUAUGUAUAUAUACAGUGCCAAGACUAACUUUUUUCGUUAAUAUGUAUAUAUACAAUCUAAGUUUUCAUAUGCAUCCCUGAAAUGACACCGUGGCGUUAGCACGGGCACUAUACUAGUAGUGUGUGUGAUUGCUAUUUUCUACAGGUAUCUCUGCUCUCCCUAAUUUCAGGUUCAGUGUCGUUGUGAAGGUUCAGAUCAAUGUCUCUAUUUCCUAUACUAUCCUUCACCUUUGUUAAUACUCUAAUACUUCUUCCUGCAAGUUGAAGCUAUCUUUUAUCAAUUAUCUGCUCCAACUAUGUAAUCUGUUAUCUUGCUCUAAAGCUCCAAUUGUGAGUCAAGAAUGUGUCACUUCUUGGAGGGAUAUCUAUCUACAUAGCUUUAAUUUUUUACUGUUCUGAAAUAAGUGUUGUUCCAGUUUUGAAAACGUUUCCUGAUUUUUAACUUCGGGAUGUUAAAGUUGAUUGGAGAUGUGCCUUGGUAAGAUGAUUUGUUCCGGAAACAAUUCAUGAUGUUUUUACUGUUCUGAAAACAAUGCAAGAUGUUUGGUGUAGUGAGAUCAUAUAUGCAUAGAUUAUUAUAACUGUUGUUUGAUUUGUUCUGGCUUACAUAUGUAAAGUUCCUUUUGAAUUUUUCAUUUGUUUCAACAAGUGAUAUUUGUUUCUGAUGUAUUUUCUACAGGAUAUAGAGAAAUUCCAGCAACCUAAGGUAUUCACUCAUGCUCCUAACACCAAGAAGACCUAGCUUCCAGCACCUAUUGAACUAUUAGUUUGGUGACUAAGGUCACUUGUGAGAUUGGGAUGUGAGAUUUUAUUUGUUUAUUUUAUAUGAGAUGACUUUGUGACUAAGGUCACUUGUUGAACUAUAGUUUGGUGUUCGUGAUGAAUGUAAUAAAUAUUUUGAUG